UCAGGAUACCAAAAACGGUAUACUACAUGGCAUUUCGUUCUUGAACCUCCUGUGGCACGAUCAUCGCUUAGUCUGGAGUCCUGAGGACCAUGGUAAUAUCUCUCUGGUAUCAGUUCCGUUGAAUUCAGUUUGGACACCACCACUGCAAAUGUUUAACAGGGCCGGAUCGGGGCAGACACAGAGUCCUUUCCAGACUGAUGGCAAUAGGGUACAGGUCUGGGCUAACGGAACAGCAUACAUGCAGUCUAACAUGUAUUUCAGCACCAUCUGCUCGGUACUUCUGGUAGAGUUUCCAUUCGAUGAGCACAACUGCGGAGUUGGUUUCUUUCCACUAGG
rnacentral:lncRNA from 1 species